GAAAUGCGAUACGUAAUGCGAAUUGCAGAAUUCAGUGAAUCAUCAAAUCUUUGAACGCAAAUGGCACUGUCGGGAUAGACCUGGCAGUACGUUUCUUUCAGCGUCGUUUCAACAACACUCAGGCUGCGCCUUUACUGGCGUAACUUGGAUUUUGAGUGUCACAUUCUUAACGGAAUGUGUCACUUUAAACUUAACGGAACGGCAUGUGUUCAGCACACUGCAUCAAUUACUCGAUAGUGACGUGGGUAAUUUCACUCAUGUGAAUCUUUACGUGGCUACUGAGGAACGAUGUACGUGCGGCUUUGCGCAAAAGUCAUACCGACUUUGAGGGGUUCGCUCUUCAAUUUUCUUCGACUCAGACCUGAAAUGAAGCGAGAUUACCCGCCGAACUUAA
rnacentral:misc_RNA from 1 species